CCCGUCUGACACCGCGUGCUCCCGAGCGAGCACCCGCGUGUAUUGUUUUGAUUGCGUGUUAGUCUAGAGUUGCGUCUUUUGCGUUAUUACAUUGCGCACAUUCUAAUUUCUGUUUGAGCAUCUUCUCGUUUCUGUUUUCUUCUUCUUUGUAUUGGCAUUUUCAUUGUUAAUUAUAUUCUUUCUAUUUUACCACGUGUCCCCCUUUCUUUUGCGUUCCCCUCACCCCGUAGUUUUUGUGAUAGCUGUUCUUGCGAGACCCUGGGCCAUUUUCGUGGUCCAGUACGUCACAAAGUUCAUGAAGGUCUUUCGUGGUACUCAGCACAUAGAGGUAGACUUUGGAUAGCAGCAGCAACAAAGGUUCCUAGUAAAGAGGAAAUUUCGGCUUUAGAGCAUCGAUAUCGUGUCCUACUGGCAUCAAGUUUCCGAACAACAAUCCAACUGA